rnacentral:rRNA from 1 species
AGGAAUAUUGGUCAAUGGGCGAGAGCCUGAACCAGCCAAGUAGCGUGCAGGAUGACGGCCCUAUGGGUUGUAAACUGCUUUUAUAAGGGAAUAAAGUUAGUCUCGUGAGACUUUUUGCAUGUACCUUAUGAAUAAGGACCGGCUAAUUCCGUGCCAGCAGCCGCGGUAAUACGGAAGGUCCGGGCGUUAUCCGGAUUUAUUGGGUUUAAAGGGAGCGUAGGCCGGAGAUUAAGCGUGUUGUGAAAUGUAGAUGCUCAACAUCUGAACUGCAGCGCGAACUGGUUUCCUUGAGUACGCACAAAGUGGGCGGAAUUCGUGGUGUAGCGGUGAAAUGCUUAGAUAUCACGAAGAACUCCGAUUGCGAAGGCAGCUCACUGGAGCGCAACUGACGCUGAAGCUCGAAAGUGCGGGUAUCGAACAGGAUUAGAUACCCUGGUAGUCCGCACGGUAAACGAUGGAUGCCCGCUGUUGGUCUGAAUAGGUCAGCGGCCAAGCGAAAGCAUUAAGCAUCCCACCUGGGGAGUACGCCGGCAACGGUGAAACUCAAAGGAAUUGACGGGGGCCCGCACAAGCGGAGGAACAUGUGGUUUAAUUCGAUGAUACGCGAGGAACCUUACCCGGGCUUGAAUUGCAGAGGAAGGAUUUGGAGACAAUGACGCCCUUCGGGGUCUCUGUGAAGGUGCUGCAUGGUUGUCGUCAGCUCGUGCCGUGAGGUGUCGGCUUAAGUGCCAUAACGAGCGCAACCCCUCUCCUUAGUUGCCAUCAGGUUAAGCUGGGCACUCUGGGGACACUGCCACCGUAAGGUGUGAGGAAGGUGGGGAUGACGUCAAAUCAGCACGGCCCUUACGUCCGGGGCUACACACGUGUUACAAUGGCAGGUACAGAGAGACGGUCCCUUGCAAAAUGGAUCAAAUCCUUAAAGCCUGUCUCAGUUCGGACUGGGGUCUGCAACCCGACCCCACGAAGCUGGAUUCGCUAGUAAUCGCGCAUCAGCCAUGGCGCGGUGAAUACGUUCCCG